rnacentral:rRNA from 1 species
GACGAACGCUGGCGGCGUGCUUAACACAUGCAAGUCGAGCGGAGCGGCGAACGGGUGAGUAAGGCGGGAGUAACUGCCCCCCUCCCUGGGAUAACAGUUGGAAACGGCUGCUCAUACCGGAAAGUGGGGGAUGACGCGCGGGCUAUCAGCUUGUUGGUGGGGCAGUGGCAUACCAAGGCGACGACGGGUAGCCAGCCUGAGAGGGAGACCGGCCACAUUGGGCUGAGGUACGGCCCGAACUCAUUCGGGCGGCAGCAGUGGGGGAGAGCGCACGAUGGGCGAAGCCAUGAAGCAGCAACGCCGCGUGGGGAAUGUCUGCCUUCGGGGUGUAAACCGCUUUCUGCCAUGAGGCGGUAGUGGCAGAAGAAGCAACGGCUAACUACGUGCCAGCAGCCGCGGUAAUUC